rnacentral:rRNA from 1 species
CUCAGGAUGAACGCUGGCGGCGUGCUUAACACAUGCAAGUCGAACGAGCCUUCGGGCUAGUGGCGGACGGGUGAGUAACGCGUGGGAAUCUGCCCUCAGGAGGGGGAUAACGGCCGGAAACGGCCGCUAAUACCCCAUAUGCCGAGAGGUGAAAUGAAUUUCGCCUGAGGAUGAGCCCGCGUCUGAUUAGCUAGUUGGUGGGGUAAUGGCCCACCAAGGCGACGAUCAGUAGCUGGUCUGAGAGGAUGAUCAGCCACACUGGGACUGAGACACGGCCCAGACUCCUACGGGAGGCAGCAGUGGGGAAUUUUCCGCAAUGGGCGAAAGCCUGACGGAGCAACGCCGCGUGAGGGAUGAAGGCCUCUGGGCUGUAAACCUCUUUUCUCAAGGAAGAAGACAUGACGGUACUUGAGGAAUAAGCCACGGCUAAUUCCGUGCCAGCAGCCGCGGUAAUACGGGAGUGGCAAGCGUUAUCCGGAAUUAUUGGGCGUAAAGCGUCCGCAGGCGGCCUUGUAAGUCUGUCGUUAAAGCGUGGAGCUUAACUCCAUUUCAGCGAUGGAAACUACAAGGCUUGAGUGUGGUAGGGGCAGAGGGAAUUCCCGGUGUAGCGGUGAAAUGCGUAGAUAUCGGGAAGAACACCAGUGGCGAAGGCGCUCUGCUGGGCCAUAACUGACGCUCAUGGACGAAAGCCAGGGGAGCGAAAGGGAUUAGAUACCCCUGUAGUCCUGGCCGUAAACGAUGAACACUAGGUGUCGGGGGAAUCGACCCCCUCGGUGUCGUAGCUAACGCGUUAAGUGUUCCGCCUGGGGAGUACGCACGCAAGUGUGAAACUCAAAGGAAUUGACGGGGGCCCGCACAAGCGGUGGAGUAUGUGGUUUAAUUCGAUGCAACGCGAAGAACCUUACCAGGGUUUGACAUCCUGCGAAUCCCUUGGAAACGAGGGAGUGCCUUCGGGAGCGCAGAGACAGGUGGUGCAUGGCUGUCGUCAGCUCGUGUCGUGAGAUGUUGGGUUAAGUCCCGCAACGAGCGCAACCCACGUCUUUAGUUGCCAGCAUUCAGUUGGGCACUCUAGAGAGACCGCCGGUGAUAAACCGGAGGAAGGUGUGGAUGACGUCAAGUCAUCAUGCCCCUUACAUCCUGGGCUACACACGUACUACAAUGCUACGGACAAAGGGUUGCAAGCUCGNGAGAGUUAGCUAAUCCCAU